rnacentral:lncRNA from 10 species
UAGUUUAUUAUGUUUGGGGUUGGAAUCACCAAGAGACCAAUUAACACCUUAUUUUUAGGAUUAGCCAUUCUGGUAUUUGCAGAUAGUUUCUUAAACAGGACUGUUUGGAGUUCACACUGUAGGAGUAAGUGAAGUGUUGAUAAAAGAGAUUCCAGAACAAAUAAAGAUUUCUACAGUAAAAGCUGGGGAGGUGUGUAGGGCUCCAGUCUUUGGGUUCACAGCUUGGCUCUACAUUCAUUGCUGGAGGAAUCCAAGCCUCACAAAAGACCGCUUUUAAAGAAAAACUCUAUUUUUCUUAGAAGAACUACUGGGAUGUUUCUUUGACAUUGAAUUUCGGGAGAUUGAUCUGGUUAAGGCUGAAUAUGUAACACCAUUGUGAGAAAUAAAACCCCAAGGUGAACAAGAUUGAAAGUGAAGGCAGCGCUCUAAGGAGGAAGCCAGCUGGCUUGAAUGGUGAUGUAAACAGCCUUGGACCACAUGGAGGAGAUAAGCAUGGACAUUUCAGGCACAGGAAUUUGCAAGAAGAAAGGCAGCGGAGCAUGAGGAUGUUCAAGGAAUGGUACUUCAUAGAGGAGCUGUUUAAUUGAUGAAAGAAGACAUGAAGGUUUGAGUUGUUCAAGAACAAACCAAGGUUUGCUGUUUGUCACAGUUGCAGAUUCAAAUGCCUUUGGGAUCAAGCAGGUUGUAAAAUUUGUGGGGCAAAGGCGGUAUGGAGUAAUGACAGGAAAAAGAAUGCUGUCCAUUUUUACUGUGAAAAAACUCCCUAUUUCAGAAAGAUAUACAUUAGGGUUGUGAGGUUGUAGGCUGAAUGAAGCUUUAACCAAACUUGAGUAAGAACUCCCUGACUUGGAAACACUCAAGUUUCCCACACAUGACUGGAUGGCCCUGGCCACACUGGGAACGGAAUGGGGGCCUCCCAUUGGAACUCAGGGUGGAGGGGGAAGCUCGACCAGCUAUUG